rnacentral:rRNA from 1 species
AUGGAGAUGUUCAAUGCUUGGAUCCGAGAGCUUGGGCUGGAAGAUGUUCAGGUCGACAACAGGUUGUUCACUUGGUCCAACAAGAGAUCUUCCCCCACGCUGGUUAAGCUGGACCGGGUGCUGGUGAAUGCAGCUUGGGGUUUGUGUUUCGCACAGACCUCUGCUUCUGUUGUGCCUGCUACCACCUCAGACCACACCCCCAUCGUUCUUCAGUUUCAAACCGAGGCGAUCAAGAGUAGCUUAUUCAGAAUGGAGAACCACUGGCUGCACAUGGAGGAGACUAGGCACAUUAUACAGGAUUGUUGGUCCAGGGGCUGCAGAACCAUCCUUUCCUCAGCGUCUCUCAUAUACUUUAAAAUGAGAAGAGUACAGGCUGCUAUAUGGCAAUGGAGUAGACGCCGGCCUAGUCUUAAAUUACUCAUUGAGAACAAUAAACAUGUAGUGAGCUUCAUCUGUGCUGUUGAGGAGAGAAGAUCUCUGUCGCUGAUGGAAGUGGUCCUCCGGGAGUUCGCGUCUGCCAAGGCUGAGCAGUUGAUUUUGUGGCAGGCUGCUAUGUGGAAGCGAAGGGCCAAGCUUAGAUGGUGUGUGUCUGGGGAUGAGAAUUGCAAAAAAAUUCAUGUGGCAGCUAAUAGCCAGGCACGUCGUAACAAAGUCAGGGUUCUUGUUGAUGACGGGGCGCACUACUACCAGAACUGUCAAAAGAUUCAGCUGGCAACUGCGUAUUUCGCCAACAUUUUGUGGCAGCCUGCUCCCUCUCUACCAACAGUUCAGCUGUCUGAUUUGUAUAGCCCCGUGGAUCUGUCUGAGCUGGUUAAUGUUUUUUCUUGGGCUGAGUUGGUUCGUGCCAUUGACAUGUCACCAAAUAACGGAAGCCCCGGGCCGGAUGGGUUCACAAAUGAGUUCUAUAAGGCUUUCAAGCACCUGCUUAAGGAUGAUCUGCUCAAGUUCUUCGGGAAUUUCCAUGCAAAUCAAGUUGCUCUGGAUGGUAUCAACACGGCUUAUAUAACCUUGCUGCCUAAAGUAGACACGCCGAUGGAGUUGCGGGACUUUAGGCCUAUCUCUCUGGUGCAUAGUGCCCCUAAACUGGUGUCCAAGGUUUUGACCUGCAGGCUGCAGCGUUGCAUUCCAGAUUUGGUGCAUUCGUUGCAGUCUGGGUUCUUGAGAGGAAGAUCCAUUGUGGAAAAUUUUGCUUUGGCAGCUGAAAUGAUCCAAGCAGCGCAUAAAAGGAGGGCACCAGUGAUUGCUUUGAAAUUGGACUUUCGCAAAGCUUUCGAUUCGGUCAGUUGGGACUGCCUCACUCAGGUUCUGGAAGCCAGGGGCUUUCCCCCCUUGUGGAUACAGUGGAUCCAUGCUCUCCUCUCCACUGGACGAUCAAGGGUGCUGAUUAAUGGAGAACCAGGGGAUCCCAUCUUGGCAAAGCGCGGCUUUCGGCAGGGAGACUCCUUAUCGCCUUACCUCUUCAUUCUUGUAGCCGACGUCUUGCAACGCCUGUGUUGUUGGCAUUUCCAGAAUGGUACUUUGAUGCACCCGCUUGGUUCCCACGGUUUCUUCCCGGUUUUGCAAUAUGCAGACGAUGCGCUGAUCAUUUUUCGGGGCGAGUGGAGCAAGCCAGAGUCAUUAAGAAUAUCCUCACUGCCUUCUCUGCGUUCUCAGGGCUGA